GAAGAGAAAAUGCAAGACAUUCGGUUAAAUGGAGGGUUUUUGUGGAAAAAAUGCGUGGCUGUCAGGUUAAAGUGGGGAUUCUCGAAGAGAAAAUGUAUGAUUUCUGGAUUGAAUGCUUUUUUUUUUCCUUUAGAGAAAAGUGGUGAUUUUUGAUUGUGUAUUUUUCCAAGAGAAAAUGCAUGGUUUUUGGAUUAAAUGGGGGAUUUUUUGAAAAGAAAAUGCGUGACUUUCGGGUUAGAUCAGGGAUUCUUGAAGAGAAAAUGCAUGAUUUUCGUUUACCUGAUUUUGGGGUCAAAUGGGGUAUUUUUUGGAGAGAUACUGCUAAUUCCCUCAAAGUUUCCAC
ensembl:lncRNA